rnacentral:lncRNA from 1 species
UUCUCUCAUUCAAAUCUUGAAGAAGAAAUUGACAGAGGAGAUCACAUUUAGGGUAAAAAUUUAUGUUCUUUUUGUGGGUUUAUGGCAUUUUUAUUUUUUAAAUUUUACAAAAAAGUCCUAUUUUCCCUUCAUAGGUUUUUCUUCCUCUAUUAUCUCUCUCUCUCUCUCUAUUUUUUUUUUCCCAUUGAGAAGUUUAUUACAAUGUAUUUUUUUCUGAUGCAAAAAGGAUUUUUUUUUUGAACAUGAAAAAAAAUCCUACUAUUUCUUGAUUUUCAUAUGCAUCUUGUGAAUCAUUUUUAAUUAUGAUUUAUUUAAUAUUUUCCAUCUUUGUUUAAAGAGUUGGACUAAUGCUUAUAUCCAUUGUACUGUAAAAUUGAUUUAUGUUGAUUAAGAUCGAUUCACGUUGUUUUAGUUGUUUCUUCAGCCGAUAUCGACUAGAAUGAGAUGAUGAAACUUUGGAGUUUGUUACAGUCGCAAAAAUGAGACGUCGACAUAUUAUUGCAUAUUUGCAGGUGACUUUCAACAAGGAAAAAGGAAUUGCUAGAAUGUGACAGGAAAGGAAAGGUUUCGGAUUGAACGGGUGAUUUGAAUUACGUUUGUGGUAGAAAGACUAAUAUGAUAUUGAUUUCAAUUUGUUAUGUGGAAUUUGAAUUGAAAAACCAUGUUGGGCAAAACAUAGUUGCCAAGGGAUGAUUCCUUGCCCGGUUCUCCGCCUUUUUGAUUUCUGAUUACAUAUUGUCACUCUCGUUUCUGCUAGAAAUAAACCCACUA